rnacentral:rRNA from 1 species
CCUACGGGUGGCAGCAGUGAGGAAUAUUGGUCAAUGGUCGGGAGACUGAACCAGCCAAGCCGCGUGAGGGAUGAAGGUACAGAGUAUCGUAAACCUCUUUUGUCAGGGAACAAAGGCGGGGACGCGUCCCCGGAUGAGUGUACCUGAAGAAAAAGCAUCGGCUAACUCCGUGCCAGCAGCCGCGGUAAUACGGAGGAUGCGACGGUUAUACGGUUUUAUUGGGGUUAAAGGGUGCGCAGGCGGUCUGUUAAGUGAGCGGUAAAACCCCGGGGCUCAACCCCGGCCCGCCGUUGAAACUGGCAGUAUCGAGUUGGAGAGAAGUAUGCGGAAUGCGCGGGGUAGCGGUGAAAUGCAUAGAUAUCGCGCAGAACUCCGAUUGCGAAGGCAGCAUGCCGGCUCCACACUGACGCUGAGGCACGAAAGCGUGGGUAUCGAACAGGAUUAGAUACCCGAGUAGUC